CAGCGCCGCGGUAAUACGUAGGUGGCAAGCGUUGUCCGGAAUUAUUGGGCGUAAAGGGCUCGCAGGCGGUUUCUUAAGUCUGAUGUGAAAGCCCCCGGCUCAACCGGGGAGGGUCAUUGGAAACUGGGAAACUUGAGUGCAGAAGAGGAGAGUGGAAUUCCACGUGUAGCGGUGAAAUGCGUAGAGAUGUGGAGGAACACCAGUGGCGAAGGCGACUCUCUGGUCUGUAACUGACGCUGAGGAGCGUAAGCGUGGGGAGCGAGCAGGAUUAGAUACCCCGGUAGUCCCUGUCUCUUAUACC
rnacentral:rRNA from 1 species